GCCUGGGUGGCUCAGUUGGUUGAGCGUCCAGCUUCGGCUCAGGUCAUCUCACGGCUCGUGGGUUCGAGUCCCGCAUCGGGCU
rnacentral:tRNA from 1 species